rnacentral:sRNA from 1 species
ACACAGGCAGUGGCAGGGCAAGCUUCCCCCAUAAUGCCCUGCCAAUGUGUC